AUGAUCCAAAAUCUGAACUACAUCUACAACUGCAAUGACGUCGAGGCUCUGUGGAUGCUUCGAAUGAAAAGAGCACCAUUUGCCAGGCUUGUCGAGACCUUCAGGAGCAGGGGGCUGCUACAAGAUAACAUCAACACCAGUGUCGAAGAGCAAGUGGACAUGUUCCUCCAUGUUGUUGGCCAUAACCAGAGGUUCAGGGUCAUUCACAGCACGUUUAGAAGAUCAAAGGAGACCAUCUCUAGGUACUUCAAGCAGGUGUUUUUUACUAUUGGGGAGCUUAGAGAAGAGAUGACCAGGAGACCAUCUGGUCAGACUCCAUCCAAGAUUCGCGGAAGCCCAAGAUGGUAUCCAUACUUUAAGUUGAGCACUAACACAGGC
rnacentral:rRNA from 1 species